UACGUAGGUGGCAAGCGUUGUCCGGAAUUAUUGGGCGUAAAGAGCUCGUAGGCGGUUUGUCGCGUCUGCCGUGAAAGUCCGGGGCUCAACUCCGGAUCUGCGGUGGGUACGGGCAGACUAGAGUGCAGUAGGGGAGACUGGAAUUCCUGGUGUAGCGGUGAAAUGCGCAGAUAUCAGGAGGAACACCGAUGGCGAAGGCAGGUCUCUGGGCUGUAACUGACGCUGAGGAGCGAAAGCAUGGGGAGCGAACAGG
rnacentral:rRNA from 1 species